AGAGUUUGAUCCUGGCUCAGAUUGAACGCUGGCGGCAGGCCUAACACAUGCAAGUCGAGCGGAAACGGCAGUAUUGAAGCUUCGGUGGAUUUACUGGACGUCGAGCGGCGGACGGGUGAGUAACGGCUGGGAACCUGCCCUGACGAGGGGGAUAACCGUUGGAAACGACGGCUAAUACCGCAUAAUGUCUUAGUUCAUUACGAGCUGGGACCAAAGGUGGCCUCUACAUGUAAGCUAUCGCGUUGGGAUGGGCCCAGUUAGGAUUAGCUAGUUGGUAAGGUAAUGGCUUACCAAGGCAACGAUCCUUAGCUGGUUUGAGAGGAUGAUCAGCCACACUGGGACUGAGACACGGCCCAGACUCCUACGGGAGGCAGCAGUGGGGAAUAUUGCACAAUGGGGGAGACCCUGAUGCAGCCAUGCCGCGUGUGUGAAGAAGGCCUUCGGGUUGUAAAGCACUUUCAGCAGUGAGGAAGGUCGCGUACUUAAUACGUGCACGGCUUGACGUUAGCUGCAGAAGAAGCACCGGCUAACUCCGUGCCAGCAGCCGCGGUAAUACGGAGGGUGCGAGCGUUAAUCGGAAUUACUGGGCGUAAAGCGCAUGCAGGCGGUUUGUUAAGUCAGAUGUGAAAGCCCGGGGCUCAACCUCGGAACCGCAUUUGAAACUGGCAGGCUAGAGUCUUGUAGAGGGGGGUAGAAUUUCAGGUGUAGCGGUGAA
rnacentral:rRNA from 1 species